rnacentral:other from 1 species
UUUCCCCUGCGGUGUUGGUUGGAGCCACAUACUCCUUGAACCAAUGUCUUCGUGACAUGGCUGCCGGCUCAGCUUCCCGCUGUUGUGAGCGCCCCUUAGCCGGGCGCACCUGAUGCGGUUGAGUGGCAACCCCCUGAACCCCCGGUUCAGGAUGACGGCUCGACGGCACUUGCGGGGGAUCC